rnacentral:rRNA from 1 species
UACGUAGGGGGGCAAGCGUUUGUCCGGAUUUAUUGGGCGUAAAGAGCGUGUAGGCGGCCAAGCAGGUCCGCUGUGAAAACUCGAGGCUCAACCUCGAGACGUCGGUGGAAACCGUUUGGCUAGAGUCCGGAAGAGGAGAGUGGAAUUCCCGGUGUAGCGGUGAAAUGCGCAGAUAUCGGGAAGAACACCCGUGGCGAAAGCGGCUCACUGGACCAUUACUGACGCUGAGGCUCGAAAGCUAGGGGAGCAAACAGG